rnacentral:misc_RNA from 1 species
AGAAAGAAGGAACAGUCUAAAUUACAAUUGCCAACAAGAGAAAGGGACUGAAGAAAUCGUUAUGUGUUGUUUCUUCAAGACAAUGUUCUCUUGUUGAAAGAUUCUACAGUUAAAUUGGCUGUAAAAGCAGGUAUUGAGUUCAUCCUUCGAAUGAAUAUUUCAACCUGUUGGGAUAUCUCAGGUUGAGAGGUGUACUUGUUCGUCAA